AUUGAACGCUGGCGGCAGGCCUAACACAUGCAAGUCGAACGGUAGCACAGAGAGCUUGCUCUCGGGUGACGAGUGGCGGACGGGUGGGUAAUGUCUGGGAAACUGCCCGAUGGAGGGGGAUAACUACUGGAAACGGUAGCUAAUACCGCAUAACGUCGCAAGACCAAAGUGGGGACCUUCGGGCCUCACACCAUCGGAUGUGCCCAGAUGGGAUUAGCUAGUAGGUGGGGUAAUGGCUCACCUAGGCGACGAUCCCUAGCUGGUCUGAGAGGAUGACCAGCCACACUGGAACUGAGACACGGUCCAGACUCCUACGGGAGGCAGCAGUGGGGAAUAUUGCACAAUGGGCGCAAGCCUGAUGCAGCCAUGCCGCGUGUAUGAAGAAGGCCUUCGGGUUGUAAAGUACUUUCAGCGGGGAGGAAGGCGGUGGAGUUAAUAACUUCACCGAUUGACGUUACCCGCAGAAGAAGCACCGGCUAACUCCGUGCCAGCCGCCGCCUAA
rnacentral:rRNA from 1 species